UGGGAGAUGUAGUUCUGCAGCUGGAUAGAGACAGGCUGGGGAUCACUGGUUUCACAGAUCUAGGACAUGCUGGGAGUUGUAGUUUUGCAGAUGGACAGAGAUAGGCUGGGAUCACUGAUUUGACAGAUCUAGGACAUGCUGGGAGUUGUAGUUUGGCAGAUGGACAGAGGCUGGGGAUCACUGAUCUAGACAGAUCUAGGACAUGCUGGGAGUUGUAGUUCUGCAGAAUGUUGCGGGACACUGACAGUCACAAGCGAGACACAUGUAUGUUGCAAUACAACUGCUUUAAAUCCCUAUGAAGAAGAAAGUCACAUGCAGCCUUGCAGCAAUGCCUGUCAGCCUGUGUACAGAACACCAAUACAAAAGGGCGGAGCCAAGCAGCAAAUGGGCGUGACUUGCAGUUCCACUCUCAAACCAACAGAAGGGGAGGGGGCCGGGAGGCGGAGCCUAUCCCGAGAAUGUGGGCUCGUCUUAGACAACGCUGUCACUCAGAGGGCCGUGUCCGGGGGCGGGGCCUGUCACUCAGCGCUGGAGGGUGUGGCCAGUGCUGUCGCUCGGAUUCCCGCGCAUGCGCUCAUGUUUGUUUUGACUGAAAAUGCCGUCGGUUUCGAAAACGGCGCUGAGCGGCUCCCCGCAGACCGAGAAACCGACUCAUUACACGUAUCUUAAGGAAUUUCGGACCGAGCAGUGCCCGCUGUUUCUGCAGCACAAAUGUACCCAGCACAGACCUUUUACCUGCUUUCACUGGCAUUUCCUAAACCAACGACGCCGCAGACCCAUCCGAAGACGCGAUGGGACCUUUAACUACAGUCCAGACGUUUAUUGUACAAAAUACGAUGAAACCACAGGAAUGUGUCCCGAUGGAGAUGAUUGUCCAUAUUUGCAUAGGACAACCGGCGACACUGAAAGAAAGUAUCAUCUACGGUAUUACAAGACCGGUACUUGUAUUCACGAGACAGAUGCUCGAGGGCAUUGUGUGAAGAAUGGACCCCAUUGUGCCUUUGCCCAUGGUCCUCAUGACCUUAGACCUCCUGUCUAUGAUAUAAGGGAAAUCCAAGCGCAGGAAGCCUUACAGAAUGGGCAACUUGGGAGUGAAGGAAUUCCUGACCUGCAGCCAGGAGUUCUAGCCAGCCAAGCAAUGAUAGAGAAAAUUCUAGGAGAGGAUCCUAGGUGGCAAGAUACAAAUUUUGUAUUAGCCAGCUAUAAAACAGAGCAGUGUACUAAGCCACCCAGACUCUGCCGCCAAGGAUAUGCCUGCCCUCACUACCAUAAUAGCAGGGACAGGAGACGCAACCCAAGGAAAUUCAAGUACAGAUCCACACCGUGCCCGAGCGUGAAACAUGGGGAUGAGUGGGGAGAGCCUUCAAAGUGUGAAAGUGGGGACAGUUGUCAGUACUGCCAUUCCCGCACUGAACAGCAGUUCCAUCCAGAGAUUUACAAAUCUACAAAGUGCAAUGAUGUGAGGCAAACUGGGUAUUGCCCAAGAGGACCUUUUUGUGCAUUUGCACAUGUUGAACGAAUUCCCUCUGCUGAAGAGGCUAUGAAUGUGAUGAUGCAAUCGAGCUGUCAUAUAAAACAAGCACAGUCUCUCUAUUCUUCAGACAGUAUAGGCCUCUCCGGUGACUGGAACACUACUAUAAGUUGUACUAAUAGCCUCCUGAACCACAACGAACAAACCAUAAAUGCAAAACACAAGUGCCUGUCUUUGGAUAAUAAUCAUAGAUUGAAUGACCAAGAAAACAAACAGAGCCAUCUCAGUGUUUUUUCAGUGGUUAACCCACUGGCUUCCAGUAUAACCUCCAGUAUAACUUCUAGUCUGGCAUCCAGUAUUGGCUCAGAUAGUUCAUCCCCUACUGCGCUAUCAAGUGUUAAUGCCAAAGCUCUCCCAUUCUACCCUGCUAGUAAUACUGUUGAAUCAGUAAUAGGUUCUGCCUUAGAUCUACAUUUUAGCAAUAUUAAUGUUGCAUCUUUAGACAAAGAAUUAGAAGACUCUGAGAACAGCGACCUGGGCUUAUCGAGUCAAAGGUUACUGGGAAGUUCAGCACCAGUGAAUAUCCCAGGAUCUCUUGCUCGUUCCUCCUCUCUUCACUCCUCUUCUUCUCUUUCAACCUCUCCUCUGAGCUCGCUCUCCCAGUCGCUGUCACAGUCUUAUCUUUCCUCCAGUAUGGCUCCCCGCCAGCAGCAGACACCGACACUGAAGUCUGAGCACAACGCUUUAGGCACUUCAACCUCUUCCCACAACUCUUUAGGUUUAAAUGGGGUGACGGGCAGUAUUUGGGACUUUGUUAGUGGGAGUUUCUCACCUAGUCCCUCCCCAGUGUUCAGUAGUGGUACUACCAGUACCACCAGUACUAAUUCAAAUGGCAGUGAGCUGUCUCGUGUUAGGAGAGAACUCGAGGAUGCCAAGCGAAAAAUAAAAAGAUGGGAAGACUCCUGGCAACAAGUGAAGCAGGCUUGUGAUGCAUGGCAAAAAGAAGCCCAAGAGGCAAAAGAGCGUGCCAAGGCAGCAGACGCGGACCGACAAGUAGCACUUUUACAGAAGGAAGAAACAGAGGGCAAACUGAAGAAGCUUCAGGAAGAAUUUGACGUCUUAUGUGUAUUUCCACAGCUUUCCACUACAAGAAAUUACGGUGACCUAGAGAAGCUUCCUUUACCAAAGCUACAUUCUCUUAAAAAUCAGCUCCGCACUGACAUGGAAACAAUUGAUGGGUUGAUAAUCCAGCUGCAUUCCCAGAAGUGUGUUGUCUGCCAUGAAAAUGACAGAAGUGUAGUCCUGCAGCCCUGCCAGCAUUACGUCUUAUGUGAACAGUGCGCAUCUAGCAAACCGGAAUGUCCUUACUGCAAGACCAAAAGAAUGAAAUGGUGAUGAGCCUUUCAACACAGCAGUUUUACCAAUCCACUGGGGAAAUCCACCCGUAUCAUACAAAAAGAAUCAAAAAGUUACCCAUCCCGAAUUGUAAAUGACCAACUACUGUGUUGCAUUACUUGAAGUCCUGAGUCCAUCUCCCCCCACCCCUUGUUCCCCUGUGGAUGGGCUCAGGCCUGGGUCAGUGUAUGCAGUUUCUUCCACUUGUCUGAAGAACCUUUCAUUGUUCUACUUUGGAGGGUUUACGAUGGAAUUCAAGCAGCAUAUUGUAGUUUUAUUUAUUUUUAUUAUUUUUUUUUAUUAAGAACAUAUCGUUUUCGGUUAUCUAUCUUUACCUUCACUAGUGUUUGAAAUAUUAGUAAUAUUGUUACAGUAUAUUUGUGUAACUGUGGUCAGUAUAAGACCUUAAAUAUUAUAGAUUUUACAUGUAUUAAUUUAUGGAAGCUAAUCUAGCCUGCUUGUAGUGAAAAAAAAAAAAAAAAAGAAUGGUCUUGUGAAUGGAAUUUGUCUUCUUUUUUUUUUUCCCCCCUGAUAAAGAAGGUAUUAUUUAUAACGGCAUAAUCAUUUUACUUAUAGUGAAUCGUUACAAAAUUGUUAACACUUGUUUUUAAGAGAAAAAAAAAACUUUUACACUAUAGCAUUUAUGCAAUGGUUUACAAAUUCAUGGAAUUAUUUUUAUUAUCAAUAUGGGAAUUAAAAUAAUUUUUGAUCUUUAACGCUUGUGUUUUUGGUUUUUCUUU